GACGAACGCUGGCGGCGUGCCUAAUACAUGCAAGUUGAGCGAUGAAGAUUGGUGCUUGCACCAAUUUGAAGAGCAGCGAACGGGUGAGUAACGCGUGGGGAAGCUUCUUUUUAGUGGGGGACAACAUUGGAAAACAAAUGCUAAUACCGCAUAACAACUUUAACCAUAGAUUUUAGGUUUUAAAGAGGCAUUGCCCUAACUCAAGAAUGAUCCCGCGUUUUAUUAGCUAGUUGGGGAGGUAAAGGCUCACCAAGGGGAUGAUACAUAGCCGACCCGAGAGGGUGAUCGGCCACAAUGGGAAUGAGACACGGCCCAAACUCCUUAGGGAGGCAGCAGUAGGGAAUCUUCGGAAAUGGGCGACAGGCUGACCGAGCCACGCCGCGUGAGUGAAGAAGGUUUUCGGAUCGUAAAACUCUGUUGGUAGAGAAGAACGUUGGUGAGAGUGGAAAGCUCAUCAAGUGACGGUAACUAAACAGAAAGGGACGGCUAACUACGUG
rnacentral:rRNA from 1 species